AUUGCAAGUUAAUAGCUUUUGCCUGUUUUUUAUUUUUCAUGUUUAUUUGCUUGCACUAGAUUCUUUUUGCAUCUUUUAGAUUUUUAUCUUCUUGAUUUUAGACAUUGCCAAUGAACUCCCAAUCUGUGACCUGUCCGUUAACAUUAUCCAUGGUGUUUAUAUUAUUUAGGAGGUAACUCUGUUAUUUGUAGUAGAACCCUAUAUUAACAGUGGCUCAACAAGAAAGAGAUUUUCCUCCAAGUGACAAUUUAGAAGGAAGUGAUCCUUUUGUGUUGUUAUUCCACCAUUUCUAGAGUAUUGGUUUCUCAGCAUGGUGCAAGGUGGCUCUCAUCAGCCAUGAGAAAGGGGAAAAGAGGGAGAAGAGAGCAUGCUCCUUUAUUUAAAGGCACAAGGUAGAAGG
rnacentral:lncRNA from 10 species